rnacentral:RNase_P_RNA from 1 species
GGCAGAGGGAGCUCGGUUCCCGCGGAUAACGGUUCCGGUAGUACGUCGGAACCUACGUGAGGAAAGUCCCCCCACCGUCCGAGCAGGCAACCGGACGCAAGUCCGGAGUGGGAGACCACUGGCUCUGGAACAGAAACGAUACCACUUCGUGUGACCGAUGCAGUGUGCGAACCGACCCGAGAGGGGAGGGAGUUAACCCACUAAGGGCGCGUGACGUUCGUCACGCCACGUCGUACUGACUCUGUCAGUGCGCGGAUCACGAAGAAUGGAUGGAACGGCGAAUCCUUGCCGGUGCAAGUCCGUGCCAUCAUGGUAGCUCGGACACACGGUGCGGACGCUUAGCCGAAUGCCGAGCCGAACAGAAGGGGGCUUACUCCCCUCAGCC